rnacentral:rRNA from 1 species
GAUGAACGCUGGCGGCGUGCCUAAUACAUGCAAGUCGAGCGAACGGACGAGAAGCUUGCUUUUCUGAUGUUAGCGGCGGACGGGUGAGUAACACGUGGAUAACCUACCUAUAAGACUGGGAUAACCUCGGGAAACCGGAGCUAAUACCGGAUAAUAUUUUGAACCGCAUGGUUCAAAAGUGAAAGACGGUCUUGCUGUCACUUAUAGAUGGAUCCGCGCUGCAUUAGCUAGUUGGUAGGGUAACGGCUUACCAAGGCAACGAUGCAUAGCCGACCUGAGAGGGUGAUCGGCGGCCCUGGAGCUGGAACACGGUCCAGACUACUACGAGAGGGAGCAGUCGCCUACGUUACGCAAUGGUGGAGAGCAUGACGGAGCAAGGCGGAGUCAGUGAUGACGGUCCUGCGAUCGUAAAAAUCUGUUAUUAGGUGUGAACAUCUGUGUACGUAAACGUGGAGAUCUUGACGGUAAUUGAUAAGAAAGCACCGGCUAACUACGUG